rnacentral:rRNA from 1 species
UGUCGUCAGCUCGUGUUGUGAAAUGUUGGGUUAAGUCCCGCAACGAGCGCAACCCUUAUCCUUUGUUGCCAGCGGUCCGGCCGGGAACUCAAAGGAGACUGCCAGUGAUAAACUGGAGGAAGGUGGGGAUGACGUCAAGUCAUCAUGGCCCUUACGACCAGGGCUACACACGUGCUACAAUGGCGCAUACAAAGAGAAGCGACCUCGCGAGAGCAAGCGGACCUCAUAAAGUGCGUCGUAGUCCGGAUUGGAGUCUGCAACUCGACUCCAUGAAGUCGGAAUCGCUAGUAAUCGUGGAUCAGAAUGCCACGGUGAAUACGUUCCCGGGC